rnacentral:rRNA from 1 species
UAGGGAAUAUUGGACAAUGGGGGCAACCCUGAUCCAGCCAUGCCGCGUGAGUGAAGAAGGCCCUCGGGUUGUAAAGCUCUUUUGUCCGGAAAGAAAGGCAUUCGGUGAAUACCCGGAUGUUCUGACGGUACCGGAAGAAUAAGCACCGGCUAACUUCGUGCCAGCAGCCGCGGUAAUACGAAGGGUGCAAGCGUUACUCGGAAUUACUGGGCGUAAAGCGUGCGUAGGUGGUUGUUUAAGUCUGAUGUGAAAGCCCUGGGCUCAACCUGGGAAUUGCAUUGGAAACUGGGCAGCUAGAGUGCGGUAGAGGGCAGUGGAAUUCCGGGUGUAGCAGUGAAAUGCGUAGAGAUCGGGAGGAACAUCUGUGGCGAAGGCGACUGCCUGGACCAGCACUGACACUGAGGCACGAAAGCG